rnacentral:rRNA from 1 species
UACGUAGGGGGCUAGCGUUGUCCGGAAUCAUUGGGCGUAAAGAGCGUGUAGGCGGCUUGGUAAGUCCGCUGUGAAAGUCCAGGGCUCAACCCUGGAAUGCCAGUGGAUACUGUCAAGCUAGAGUCCGGAAGAGGCGAGUGGAAUUCCUGGUGUAGCGGUGAAAUGCGCAGAUAUCAGGAGGAACACCAAUGGCGAAGGCAGCUCGCUGGGACGGUACUGACGCUGAGACGCGAAAGCUAGGGGAGCAAACAGG